rnacentral:lncRNA from 1 species
UCUUCCUUGAAUCCUCCACCAUGGAUAUACUCCUUCACGUGUGGCGAGGUGUACACCAUAUCCAAAUCACCUGUAAUGAAUUUCACAGGCACCUUGAUUUUCACUCCACUCCAUGGUGCUGUGAGCUCCCAAUUUCUGCAAUACAAUUAGUUUAACUGUCAUUAGAAUUCGAACUCUUUUCCUGCUUGCACAAAUAUUUCCCCAAAAAGAAUAGUCAAUUUAUAUUUGUCGAAAACAAUUAUGGAAGCACAAAGAAACAGAAAAUUACAAGUUAAAGUUUCUAUAGUAAUUCAAUCCUCCAGUGAAGCCAGUCUUCUCAUAUUUGGAGACAAAAUAAGCAAGAUCGUCUUCUGUGAGCCAAGUGGGCAAGGUUUCUGGGGUAUCCGGAUUGAAUCCUGUUCCAAACUCUCCUUUGGGAAGUAUUGGAGGACCAGUUUUGCGAGUUGUGAGGACAUUUUUCAGCACAUAUGCAGUGCCAACCUCAGCUAUCUCAGCUUCUAUUUUGCCAGGUUCCUGUAAUAUAGAUAAAAAACAGCUAUCAUAUUCCUAUCUACCAUUAUAGCAAUUCUCACUUCAUUUCACAGAAACAAAGAAUUAUGAUUCCAAAUAUUAUACUGGAGCUCCAUAACAUAACAUAACAUAACCCACCAUCAUCAACCAUCACUCAAUCUAAAUUGAUAAGGGUAAACACCUAGUUUAUUUCUCAUGUAUCAUUCUCGCCCAAUACUUUGUUAAAUUAUUCUCAUUUGUGUGUGCUAAGAGUAAAAACCUAUUUAAAAUAAAUUAUUCACAAACAGGCUUUUGUAGUUAGAUUGAUAACUUAAUUUUCAAUCGAACACACCAUAAAAGCGUGAGAUUAAUUAACUUAAUCAAUCAAUUAUGUUAAUCUGCAUGAUCAAUUAUUAAGAAUUACAAGUAAUAUUAGUUAUGGUCAAUUGUUACCUGAAAUCUGCAGAUAUAAUAAUCGUCUCCAUAAGCAGCACGCCUACCAUCAAUAGGCUUCACUGUGGGGUUUCUAUGGUUAAAUGGAACACUAAGACAAACAUAGGCUUUGAUUCUUUCAGGGCGAAACAUGCAAAGAUACCAACCAAUCAUGGCACCCCAAUCAUGAGCUACAAGGAACACUUGGUCAACGCCGAGUGAGUCGAUGAGAGCAACGAUAUCACCCACCAAGUGGAAGAUUGUGUAGCUGCUUAUUGAAGCGGGAGCAUCGGUGUCGCCGUAGCCACGAAGAUCUGGAGCAACAGCACGGUAACCGAGGGAGCCAAGAGCAGCAAUCUGGUGGCGCCAUGAAUACCAGAGUUCAGGGAAGCCGUGAAGGAACAAAACAACUGGACCUUCUUUUCCUUUCUCUGCAAUAUGCAUUUUGAUGCCAUUCACUUCCACCGUUCUGUGUUCUAUUCCUUCCAUCGUCUUUUUGGUGUUUGAACUGUGAUGUAUUGUAGUGUAUGAGUUUAUGCGAUAUUUAAUGAGAUGGUUUGAGCGAUUUUAGCGAUGAGGUGUUGUUUGUUUCAACUUGGUGACUGUUUGAAAAGGGGUGAGUGAGUGGGAGUGCGUAGAUGGAAAUUUAUAUGUAAUGGGAAAAAAUUAAAUUUAAUAAAGGUAAUUUAAAUGUACUUGAUGAUGAGUUUAUAAAGCACUCUAAAAUCUAUUUGUCACUUCAAUCGACGUUAAUUUUUUAUUGUCAAGUCGUAAAUAAAUGGGGUGUAGGGAAUCGAAACUCCAACCCCUACAUAUAACAAUGCAUAAAUCUAUCAAAUGAGUUGUACUCACGGGACAAUCGACAAUAAAUUUAACAGUUAAUUCUAAGAAAAAAUUGAGUUGUCAUUUUUUUGGUUUUUUUAGAUAACAAAUAAGGUGUGAGGUGGUAGGAAGGACUAAAAUGAAAGAAGGUUACAUUUAAGUUCUUUUUAAAUCCCCUCGUAUCCCUUCAUCAGGUAAAAGGACCCCUCAUUAAAUCCCUUAUCAAACUCUUUCUUCUUCAUUUUAAUUUCAUCCAAUCUUUCUCAACCUUCCUCCACAAAAUUCAAAAUGACGUAAUGAAUGUCUAACACAAAUAAAUGUGUUGCAAAACACUCAUCAUCAUCAUCAUCAUCAUCAUCAUCAUGUGCUUCGUUUAAUGAUGAUUGAGGAGAUUAGAUGGAAUCAAGAUGAAGAAGAAAUAGUAAGACUAGGGAUUUGAUGAAGUGAUAUUUAAAAUUGGGAUUCUAUGGGGUUAAAAAGAAUUUAAAUGUGUCUUUCAUUCAUUUUAGUCCAUGCUACCACCUCACACCUUAUUUGUCGUAAAAAACCAGUUUAAUAUUUCGAAAUUAACGGUCAAAUCCAACAUCGAGGAUCAAACUAGCUAACAAAUUUUAAAAAAGAAAUCGUCUAUAUCCAGCCAAACCUUCCCGUCUUUCAUGGCUCUUGUCCAAUUUUACACUUGAUUCAACAAGGGUUAUCAAUCCAAAAUUAAAAGAAAAAUUAUUUGAUAUUGUUCUGUUCUUGAUAGUUUCCAUUCCAUAGAAAGUGAAUUUGAGAUAAAAUUAAGAGGAGUGUUUGGAUGUCAAUAACUGAGUUUUUGAUGUUUUAAAUCAAGUGUCUGGUAUAUGAGAAAACAGUUUAUAUUAUGGUAUUAUCUAGAAACAGAUUGGAACAUAUCUUUCGAUACCUAGCAAUCAAAAGAUGUUUUUUGACUGGAUCAUAACUUCCAGUCAUUAUAUAAAUGACAAUUCUAGAAUUUUUAGGGGCCAACCCAAAUAUUUAGGGGCCUGAGAACAAAUGGUGGUGGGGGGGGGCAAACUGUAAGUAUAGUUACCAGCCGGGUACUAUAAUUUUUCAAACUGAGUAUAGCUACAAUUUCUGCUGCUAUGGUCUCAUAUACUCAGAUGGAGGAAGUGAGUAUAAGUACAAGUGAUGAUAUCAAGAAUCACCGUUAAACAUGAAACAACUAUGAGUAUUGUUAUGCACCAAAUUUCAUUGACCCCGUUUAAUUCAAAAUACUUGCUACAACAAUGGGAUUAUAUCGUAACAAAAAAAAAAAAGGAAAAAAAAGGGGAUUAUGUAUGUUGUGUAUUAUUAGAUACAUUAUUAUUAAUGACCCUUGUGGAGAGCUAUUUGAGCCGGAAAGAUACAUCCAGUAUUUAGAGUUAAAUGGUUACAGGAGAACAAUUGUUCUAAAUACAACACACGCAACUACUAAGAACCGGGAAAUAGACAUAGCAGCAAGAUUAUUUCAUUUGUAGAUAAGCUCAGAACUUCUUGAUGAAUUCAUAAAUGUGAUUACUUAUUUCCUCUGCUGCUUCUUGAUUGUUGAAGUGCGCCACUCCUUUUUGGAUAAUCACUUCUUCCAGAUUGGGAACAUCUUCCUUGAAUCCCCCACCAUGGAUAUACUCCUUCAUGUUUAGUGAGGUGUACACCAUAUCCAAAUCACCUGUAAUGAAUUUCACAGGCACCUUGAUUUUCACUCCAUUCCAUGGCGCCAUCAGCUCCCAAUUUCUGCCAUACAAGUAAAAAUGCAUCUUUCAUUAGAAUUGGGAUCUCUGUAUAUGAAACACUAACACAUACAUCGAAAACAACAAUAAACACAAACAUUGGACACGACAUUGACAAGUAAAUACCAGUAACAGUUUUAAAAAUGGAAGUGAUUGAAUAUAACAACAUGUGUCGGUGUUGGAUAUCAACACAUAUCCAACACCGAAACACGUCUUCAAACUGAAAUGUUAAUGCCACAUAGAUUAUUGUCAUGUUGUUCAAACAUUAUACCAAAAAGAAUUGUCAACAUAUAUUUGAGGAAAACAACCAGAGGUAGCACAAAGAAUCAAAAAGAUUACAAGUUAAAGUUUCUGUAGUAGUUCAAUGCUCCAGUGAAGCCUGUUUUCUCAAAUUUGGAGACAAAAUAAGUAAGGUCAUCUUCUGUAAGCCAAGAGGGUAAGGUGUCAGGAGUAUCUGAGUUGAAUCCAGUUCCAAACUCUCCCUUGGGAAAUAUUGGAGGACCAGUUUUCCGAGUUGUGAGGGUACUUUUCAUCACAUAUGCAGUGCCAACUUCAGCCAUCUCAGCUUCCAUUUUGCCUGGUUCCUGUGAUACGGACCAAACGCAAUUAUGUUAUUCAGAUCUAUCAUUACAGCAACUUUCCACUUCAUUUUAGACAAACAAAGAACUUUGUUUCAAAACAUUAUAUUGGAGCUUCACGAGACGAUUCAUUAACUUCUACAUUCAUGACCAUUAUGAUGUCAUACAAUUCUAAAGUUGAUGCAGAUCCAAAAUAAGAGAACUUCACCCUAACGUAUUCAAUAAUCAAUAUUACUCUCUGACAAAAUGCACAACAUGUCAUUCUAUAUUAAGUUGAGUCAUGCUUGCUUUUAGAAUUAACUGAUCAACCAUAAGGUUUCCUCUUUUGAUUUAGACUCUACUUAAAUAAACAUGUUAAUCAAGUAUUAAAUCCACUUGGGUUGGUUUGGUGGUGUUGUCUUGGAACCGGCAUGUGUUCCUUUCAAGGUGAGAGUUCGAUUUUCGCAUGCCAAUUUCGGUCUGCUAGUUUGACAUCUUCAAAAAAAAUCUUGAUCAAGUGCUUAUAGUAGAAGAUAAACUAAAGUUAAACUGUUCUUGUAUAAGUUUUAAGUUAUUUUCACAUACUAUUCGAAGAGCUUAUGAAAAUAAGCAUCUCAAAACAACCUCCUAAAUUCUAUUAAACAAUCUCACAAACCAUAAAUCCUCUCAAAUAAAUCUAUCCAAACAGGCGUUUAGUAAUCCACUAAUCCUACAUCAGUAUCAUGUCAAUAACCCACAUAAAAAACCACUCAAACUAAACUGAUAAGUGUAAUCCCCGAAUUAAGUUAUUAAGUAUUACUCUCUCCUACAUCUAUAUAUAUAAAAUAAAAAAUAAAAAAUAAAAAAUAAAAAGUGAUCUCUAAUAUUUUAUAAUUAGUAAAUCUUGACAUUUGCCAAACUCGUUAGGGAUUGCUUAAAGUAAAUUAGGGGGGCUACAGAGGCAAGGGUAGAAAAGUGGUAAUAAAGAAAUAGAAGAACCUGAAAUCUACAUAUGUAAUAAUCAUCUCCAUAAGCAGCAUGCAUGGCAUCAACGGUCCUGAUUUUGGGGUUUCUACGGAGUAGUGGAACACUGAGACAGACAUAAGCUUUGAUUCUUUCAGGGCGAAACAUACAAAGAUACCAACCAAUGAUAGCACCCCAAUCAUGAGCAACAAGAAACACUUGAUCAACACCCAGAAAAUCUAUAAGUGCAACAAGAUCACCUACUAUGUGAAAACCUGUGUAGCUACUAACUGAAGACGGAGCAUCGGUGUCACCAUAGCCACGGAGAUCGGGAGCAACAGCACGGUAGCCGAGGGAGCUGAGAGCUACAAUCUGGUGGCGCCAUGAAUACCAGAGUUCUGGGAAGCCAUGAAGGAACAAGACAACAGGUCCUUCUUUACCUUUCUCAGCAAUAUGCAUUUUGAUUCCAUUCACUUCCACUCUUCUGUGUUCUAUUCCUUCCAUCUGUGUUCUUUUUUUUGGGCUCAGAGCAACUGUGAAGAAAUUUCAAUAUUUUGAUGCUGUUGAUACUUGAUGAUACUUUAUAAUGGACAAAUGAGCCGACAUAAAUAGGUGGCUUAAUAAUAAUACAAUUAAAAUAUGUUGUUAGUGAUAAUUUUAUUUUUUUUUACACAUGUUAGUGAUAAUUAUUAAACACCACUAUAUUCCCACUUAGAAAUAUUUAUUUUUGUUGGCACCGAUUUUCAUUUGUUUCCGCUUGUUUGUCAAUUUCUCCGCCUAACUAACCAAUUUUCGUUUUGGUUACGAAAGUCAAAUCAAAAUUCUCUUGUUUGCUAAUUUAGGCGACGUUUAAAAUGGGAGCUCUCUAUUUUUUCUUUGAUGAAAAGCUUUAAUUCACCAUUGACAUUCAUAUGAUAUGAUCAGUAGAAUGACAUUCAGUGUAAACUUAUUGUUUUUAAGUGUUAGAAACAACAGGGUGAUUUAUCUACAUACACUCUGACAGAUAAGUUAGUAUUUAAGUUAGAAAGGAGGUCAAGAGUUAGAAUAGAUCGUAUUUAGAAGACAAUAUAAAGUAUUCUUAUGGAGGGUGGCGCAAGUUGCCGAUAUCUGACAUUCUUACUCUUUGCUCGUCCGUUACUGUCGAGCCGGAUUGACAAUGAUGGAGGCAGUUACGAUUCCUUGGCUUGAAUUGUUGCCCGAUUGCUGAGAGCACCCCUCAUGGAGGGGUGGGGGGUUUGAAUAUGUGUUGCUCCAUUCGAUUGUUCUUUUUAGAUGUGGUUUGAUAUUUGAUUUAUGUGUUAUGUUUCGUUUUGAUUUUUAAGGUACAAUUGAUUAAUUAUACUCUUUCUUCAUUGAAUUCGUAAAUGUAAUUACUGAUUUCCUCUUCAGCUUCUUGAUUGUUGAAGUGAGCAACUCCUUUUUGAACAAUCACUUCCUCCAAAUUCAGCACAUCUUCCUUGAAUCGUCCUCAAUGGAUAUACUCCUUCAAGUUAAACUAGGGGAGUGUUUGGAUGUCAAAAACUGAGUUUUUUUAUGUUUUAAAUCAAGUGUCAAGUAUGUGAGAACAUGAUUUAUGUUAUGGUAUUAUUCAGAAGCAGAUUGAAACGUAUCUUUCGAUACCUAGCAAUCGAAAGAUAUCUUUUGAUCAUAUCAUAUCAUAACUUCCGGUCGUUAUAUAAAUGACAAUUUUAGAAUUUUUAGGGGCCUAUGAGGAAGUAAGGUGACCCAAAGAGCGAUUUCCUGACAAUGAAAACUUCAUAUCGACACAAGUAAAAUACUAAAAUGUCUCCAGCGGCCGUUAACAACCGCUCAAUGUUACGGCGGCAGUUAACUACCGUUCACACCAGUGCACUCUGCACUAGUGCACUGGUUUUUCUAGGAACUUUGGCCUGUUUUUGCAUCCAAUUGGAAAUUAAAGCAAAUAACCAGGAUAUGUCGGGAAAUUAAAACGUACGUACAAAAUAAUAUUUAAUAGAUAAAAUUAAAAUGCAAGAACUAAUAUGAAAGGUAUGUCGGAAAAUGUCAUACAAAUACCAAAAUGUAAGGAACAUGUCAUAAUUAUACGUCACAGUAAAAAAGUACAUAAAAAAACCCUAAUCAUAAUCAACCCUGCUGCCUAGCAUGCCUCGGCCCCCUGCGCCGCCUGGCAAUCUGAUACGUAAGGGCAGGGCGACUAGUACCGGCUAUCCGCAUCACCUACUGGACAAUCUCCUCUUUAGUCAUCUCGGCUUGCCUAGCCACAAUAUCGCCAACUAUAUGCACCACAUCCCGGAUGAUCGUCAGUGUGUCAGGCAUCUCCCUGGCAUGCUCCUCCUCUAUGAUCUGCUCCACGUUCGCCGGCCUGGGAGGAGAUCCUUCAUCAGGUGGGAGAAUACGAGGGUGAGAGACUUUGGCAUACCAAACCAUGUAGCCAGGCACAUGAUGCCAUGGUCUCUCACACGCAUCUCCCCAAGCAGUAAAGAACCACGCCUGAGCGUUUUGCAGCACGGUUGUGAGAUCAUGCGUAGGCACCUGAGCGACAGAUGACGGAUGUCUGGAAACAUCUUGUACAUAGAAAAGUUGCAUCUUUACCCGCUCAGGUAAAUGACGGUACACCAUAUCCUUCCCGCACAUCAGCCAUCCCGAGUAAGUGACAAUAAGCUGAAAUGGAUGCACGACUCUGUGAUCACCAUAAGUAGAAAAUCUGACGUCAUCCACCUAUAAGCGAUCAAGCAGUAAGCGAUAAUGGUACACAUCAGUAUAUCAUCUGCUAGUAAGCCAUCUCCCAGCGUAUGGUCUCUCUGGCGUCCACUCCUUGUUUUUCUUCCUUGGGUACGGACCUAACAAAUGCUCCAAAAUCUAUCAGUGCAACAAAUAAAUAAAAUACAUUAUAAAUAUUAAAAUUAAUUAAGAAAUGCAGUCUAACUUAGGAAAAAAUAAUCUAACAUGAUAAUAAAAAUUAUAAAAUAAAUUCAUAAAUAAAUGAAGAUAAAUAUUAAAUUAUUACCAUAAAAAGAGUUGUACUCCCAGCCAUCGUUCUGUUAUUCAGAAUAACAGAAUCAUCCACAUAGUCGAACAGGUACGCUAAGGCCAUCCCUCCCCAUGACCACUUCCCAAUCGCCUGCAAGUCUGCCAUACAAUCAAGAUAUAUCAAGUCGAUGUGUCUGUUCGUUUUGUUAGUGAACAUCGCACAACCGACGAGAUAUAGAAGAAAACUCCUCACACACCACUGUCUCCUCCUGGCUCUCUCCUGCAGCUCCUCCCUCGUCUGUGGGUCGUCCAGCCGUCUAGCCUCUGUCAGGUGGUCUUCAUAAACCCGCUUCAGUGUGGGAUAACUGAUAUGACCAGCAGACUCAGUCCUAAUCUCAGAUCUAGCAUCAACAUCUGACAUGCCCAACAACCUGGUCAUCAAAUCAAUCACACGCUCCUGACUCAUUGCCUCAUCGUGGUCCAGCAUGCGGCUGUGAAUAGGAAUGUGUAGGAGAUUAUGCACAUCGUCCAAAGUGAUCGUCAUCUCCCACACAGGUAAAUGAAAACUAUUGGUCUCCGUGUGCCACCUCUCGCACAUAGCACGUAUCAUGGCAUGGGUCACGGUAGAAUACCCCGUGUAUAUCAAAUCAUGUAGGCCAUACCCCUCCACAGGCUCCCAAAACCACCUCAAACCCGCCUCCGGCUUACCAAGCUCUUUCAUCUUUUUCCCUGCAUUUAUACACUUGUAGCCCGUCUGAUCAUGCCACAUUUGAAAUUCAAAUUAAUUAAGACAUCGUCACUAAUUUAUAUAAUUAAAACACUUACGCUACAUUCUUUUAAAUAAUUAAAACACUUACGCUACAUAAUAUUAUAUAAUUAAAACACUUACGCUACAUAAUAUUAUAUAAUUAAAACACUAACGCUACAUUCUUUUAAAUAACUAAAACACUUACGCUACAUAAUAUUAUAUAAUUAAAACACUUACGCUGAGUCUGAGGCUCAGGUUCACCCUCAGGAAUAACAUUCUCUGCCUCCAUAUAAUCCGCCACAAAAUCCUCUGGCACCUCCGCAUCACCUGCCACCUCCUCAUCCUCUACCUCGUCCUCCGGCUGAUAAAACAUUAUAUCCUCCUCCAUCCGAUCAUAUCCUUGAAAUCCCUCCGAAUACUCAUACGUCUAUAUCGGAUCAACCACCUGGGAGGAGUAAUCCAUAUGUGGCUGUGAGCUCUCUACACCUGGCCUUGCGUCCCUCCGCUUCCGAGUCUUCGGGACAUACGGAUUUUGGUCCACCUUUUCCUUCUGAGCGCUAGCGGUACUCGCCGCUUUGCCUUUGCGCAUCCUAUCCUCUCUAAUAACCCGCUGCCGCUCAUCCUCGUCCCUAGCCAUAUCUGUUCAAAACAAAUUUAAAAAAACACAAAUAAGUGGACAAUGUAUUUAAGAAUACAAUGUAUUUAAGCAUUUCCUUAAAAACUAUAUACUUUUAAGGCAUUUAGCAUAGCAUAAAAAUCCAACCAAGUAACAUGUAACAUAUAAAAAAUGAAACUUAAGCAUUCAUACAAAUCCACACUCCUUCAAAAAAAAAAAAAUACAAAUUCACACUUAGAAUCCAAGCUUAUAAUAUACCACAUUUAUAUAACAUACCACAUUAUGUCAUUCUUCAAACUUGCCAAAAAAUUUAAAAAUCCAAGCUUAUAAUAAUUAUAACAUAUAUACUUUAUAAAAUUGAAGAUAUUUGAAAAUAAUUACACAAAAAAAGUAAGAUUUUCUCACUUAUGCAUUUUAUCAAACACCUUAUGAGCAUUCUAAAUUAGGAGCAUAAUUAGUGUUAUUUGAACAUCUAAAGGGCUACAUUGUACCUACAUUGUCUCUAAACAACAAUUACAACAUAAACAAUCCAUCAAAGCAUCUAAAUCAUGCUUAAUUUUCAAUUUUCUAACCUAACUUAAAACUAUCUAAAACUAACAUUUUGCUCAAAUUUAUGAAAACUAACACCCUAAACAAACUACAUUGCAUUUAAAUAGGAAGGAAAUAACUUACUUGUGAAUUAAUUGAUGAAAUUUAGCGCAAAUUCGUGAAAUACAAGUUUGGAGAAAUUUGGAAGUUGAAAUUUUAGUGUUUGUGUUUCUGCAAAAUGGAAAAAUGAGGGUUCUGUUCUCGUUUAUUCACAGAACGUAACGGUUGUUAACAACCGCUGACCCCAGCGGCAGUCAACUGCCGGCGGUUUAAAUAACGGUAGUUAACUACAUCGGAUGUAUUUAUGUAUUUUACUUAUGUCAAUAUGAACUUUCCUUUAGUCAGAAAAACAAUUUUCUUUCCUCUUUCAAACUGUGAGUAUAGUUACCAGGCGGGUACUACAAUUUUUCAAACCGAGUAUAGCUACAAUUUCUGCUGCCUGCUACGGUCUCAUAUACUCAGAUGGAAGAAUCACCGUUAAACACGUCACUAUUAUGAGCAUUGUUGAUGCACCAAAUUUCAUUGACCCCGUUUAAUUCAAAAUACUUGCUACAACAAUGGGAUUAUGUAGUAACCAAAAAAAAAAAAAAAACGGGAUUAUGUAUGUUGUGUAUUAUUAGGUACGUUAUUAUUAGUGACCCUUGUGGAGAGCUAUUUUGAACCAGAAAGAUACAUCCAGUAUUUAGAGUUAAAUGGUUACAGGAGAACAAUUGUUCUAAAUACAACACACGCAACUACUAAGAACCCGGAAAUAGACAUAGCAGCAAGAUUAUUUCAUUUGUAGAUAAGCUCAGAACUUCUUGAUGAAUUCAUAAAUGUGAUUACUUAUUUCCUCUGCUGCUUCUUGAUUGUUGAAGUGCGCCACUCCUUUUUGGAUAAUCACUUCUUCCAGAUUGGGAACAUCUUCCUUGAAUCCCCCACCAUGGAUAUACUCCUUCAUGUUUAGUGAGGUGUACACCAUAUCCAAAUCACCUGUAAUGAAUUUCACAGGCACCUUGAUUUUCACCCCAUUCCAUGGUGCCAUUAGCUCCCAAUUUCUGCAAUACAAGUAAUAAUGCAUCUUUCAUUAGAAUUGGGAUCUCUGUUUAUGAAACACUAACACAUACAUCGAAAACAACACUAAACAAAAACAUUGGACACGACAUUGACAAGUAGAUACCAAUAACAGUUUUAAAAUAGGAAGUGAUUGAAUAUAACAUGUGUCGGUGUCGGAUAUCAACACGUAUCGAACACUGGGCACGUCUUCAAACUGAAAUGUUAAUGCUGCAUAGAUUAUUGUCAUGUUGUUCAAACAUUUUACCAAAAAGAAUUGUCAACAUAUAUUUGUGGAAAACAACCAAAGGUAGCACAAAGAAUCAAAGGAUUACACGUUAAAGUUUCUAUAGUAGUUCAAUGCUCCAGUGAAGCCUGUUUUCUCAAAUUUGGAGACAAAAUAAGCAAGGUCUUCUUCUGUAAGCCAAGAGGGUAAGGUGUCAGGAGUAUCCGGGUUGAAUCCAGUUCCAUACUCUCCCUUGGGAAAUAUUGGGGGACCAGUUUGGCGAGUUGUGAGGAUAUUUUUCAUCACAUAUGCAGUGCCAACUUCAGCCAUCUCAGCUUCCAUUUUGCCUG